AGUGUUGGAGGCUAAACACAUAAGUAAUGGAAGGAUCCCAUCAACAUUCUGCAGCAGGCUGACAGUCCACACAUUUAGCAGUAGAUUGAAGACUGUCCAACUAUCAGAACCCCUUUGAGGAAUCAGAUAUUUAUGAAGAUUUAUGAUGAAUUUGGCUCCUUUCCUUCAAUUUAUUUCUUUCGAUUUUAUUUUGCUCUUGAGCUGAUGACAUUGUCCUGAGGAUUGCUUUGGAGAACUUAUUAAACCAGACAGUGAGAGGGAGAUGAAUUAAAACACACUGCUGAAGUGACAUGAUCACUGAGGCACCCAGGCUAUCUCCGCUUAUAUUAAGCAGACUGCCUGACUCACACUGUGGUUUAUGCAGAGGACACAUGAGAGUGCUUAGUGAUUUACUGAAAUAUAAACCACUACAUGACAUUGGGUGCAUCAUUCGCAAAGCUGAAGGGCAAAUUGAGAAAAUGUAUUGGUGUUCUCUUUGGGGAAUCUAACAUCGUGCAGAUCUGCUGUCUCGGAGAGUUGCUCGUAUGCACAUUAUGAAGUAUCAGGAAAUACAAAUAUUCAUUUUGCAUUAUAUAAUGAAGGCAAUCUUCAAACAAUAAAUCUUAUGUGGUGAGUAAAGAACCACACAGUUGAUUCAAUCCCCAGUCUGUACUCAGGAGUAGUAUAGCCUCAGUGCCAACAGGGAAAUGGAUCCCCCUUGUUCACAUUUCUGAAAGUUAUUCAGUCGAGUGGACCUUGAUUUCCUGUAUAAUGUAGAAUGGUGAAUUGACUACAAUGGAAAUAAAAAUCAUGAAAGAUU